rnacentral:tRNA from 1 species
GCGCCCGUAGCUCAGCUGGAUAGAGCGCUGCCCUCCGGAGGCAGAGGUCAGAGGUUCGAAUCCUCUCGGGCGUG